GGAAAGAAGAAUUUGAAUUUCCAAUGAAGAUUUGAAGAAGAAUUGAUUUCAAAGAUCGAUUUUCUUCUCUUUCUGGGUUUAUAAAAGCUGUUUCGGAGCCAUGGAUGUGCUUCGUUGAUUCUGCCGCUGCUGUUUGGCUUCAUUUCUUCGACAUUUGGACCUUUAUAGGUCUAGUUUGUCGUUUGCUGCUGUAGCCGUAUUGAGCUCUGUUUAGGUUUUGGGAUUUCGUUUUUUUUUCUCGGCCAAUCUCUUAGUGAUUUCACUGGUCAGCUAGGUUUCCUUUUGCAAUCUCAUCAAGAGAGCAAGAGAUAAUGUUAAUAACCUCUGGGUAGCUGAAGCAACAGAAAAUUCGACCUAUUAUUUUAAAUUUUGAUCAUUCACAUUGUUCUCAUCCGAAAGAAGCCAGCGCUUCUGCUGAAAGAUGGGCAAAGAUAUCUGGUUCGAGACUUGAAAAGCUUAGGGGGAAAGUUCCAUCUAUAAUUAGCUGCCGCUGAACUUGAAGUUUGGUAAAUCAGUUUUCUUUCUUCUUUUUCCUUUAGACUGGAGUGUAGGCUGAAUUUAAUAUCAUAGUAGGACUUUAUGGUGCGCGUAUUACUGCAGGCUUGUAUCCUAGCUAAUGAAGAGGAUUGAAAUGUACUCCUUUUAAGGGCUGCAACUUGAUGCCAUAUAUAGUGAGACCUAUUUAUAUA